UGUGGGAGCUGGCUUGCCUGCGAUGGUAUCAACUCGGUGUGCCUGAUGUACCGGGGUGUCUGCAUCGCAGGCAAGCCAGCUCCCACA
rnacentral:misc_RNA from 1 species